CCAUACCGCGUGUAUGAAGAAGGCCUUCGGGUUGUAAAGUACUUUCAGCAGUGAGGAAGGUGGUAGUGUUAAUAGCACUAUCAUUUGACGUUAGCUGCAGAAGAAGCACCGGCUAACUCCGUGCCAGCAGCCGCGGUAAUACGGAGGGUGCGAGCGUUAAUCGGAAUUACUGGGCGUAAAGCGCAUGCAGGUGGUUUGUUAAGUCAGAUGUGAAAGCCCGGGGCUCAACCUCGGAAUUGCAUUUGAAACUGGCAGACUAGAGUACUGUAGAGGGGGGUAGAAUUUCAGGUGUAGCGGUGAAAUGCGUAGAGAUCUGAAGGAAUACCGGUGGCGAAGGCGGCCCCCUGGACAGAUACUGACACUCAGAUGCGAAAGCGUGGGGAGCAAACAGGAUUAGAUACCCUGGUAGUCCACGCCGUAAACGAUGUCUACUUGGAGGUUGUGGCCUUGAGCCGUGGCUUUCGGAGCUAACGCGUUAAGUAGACAGCCUGG
rnacentral:rRNA from 1 species